rnacentral:tRNA from 1 species
CCACUGGUGGUUCAGUGGUAGAAUUGUUGCCUUCCAUGCAGGAGGCCUGGUUUGAUUCCCAGCCAAUGCA